UACGUAGGGGGCAAGCGUUGUCCGGAUUUAUUGGGCGUAAAGAGCGUGUAGGCGGCCAGACAGGUCCGUUGUGAAAACUCGAGGCUCAACCUCGAGACGUCGGCGGAAACCAUCUGGCUAGAGUCCGGAAGAGGAGAGUGGAAUUCCUGGUGUAGCGGUGAAAUGCGCAGAUAUCAGGAAGAACACCCGUGGCGAAGGCGGCUCUCUGGGACGGUACUGACGCCGAGACGCGAAAGCGUGGGGAGCGAACAGG
rnacentral:rRNA from 1 species